CAGUCGCCGCGGUAAUACGUAGGGUGCGAGCGUUAAUCGGAAUUACUGGGCGUAAAGCGUGCGCAGGCGGUUUUGUAAGACAGAGGUGAAAUCCCCGGGCUCAACCUGGGAACUGCCUUUGUGACUGCAAGGCUAGAGUACGGCAGUGGGGGAUGGAAUUCCGCGUGUAGCAGUGAAAUGCGUAGAUAUGCGGAGGAACACCGAUGGCGAAGGCAAUCCCCUGGGCCUGUACUGACGCUCAUGCACGAAAGCGUGGGGAGCAAACAGGAUUAGAUACCCCGGUAGUCCCUGUCUCUUAUAC
rnacentral:rRNA from 1 species